GUUCGAGGCAUUUGAUCAUUAUGGUGGGUGGGCAAUGACUCAGAGGAGAAGUUCGAGUCACAAGGAUGUUUAAGUUCGAAGUGCAUUACUGUCUGCGCUUGAUACCCGUUAUUUGAGGCUCUUUCCAAAAACCUUUAAAGACAAUCGACAUGCAGUGAGGUCUGUGCACGGUGUGCCUUGCGUCAAAUCUUAAUACACCUUUCUGAUCUGAUUACUCCCCAUUAAAAACGAUUGGAAAUACAAAUUGUGCCGUGUGAGAGGACGCAAGAGUCACUGUUAGAACUAAACUUGAAGCUGCUUCGCCAAAGUGUUCUGUGGAACGAGAGAAAAGUUUAACCCCUCAUCUUGCCAGAGAAAUUUGCCGCCUCUUUAAGAACAGAUUUACGAUAACCAACUUGUGAAACGCUAUCAGAUGGGUGUAGAGGAAAAUUGGGAACAAGGAACUUGGAAAACGACCACCACUGAGACUGAGAGACAUCCGUUGGAAGACAUCGGAGUUUGUUAUACUGAUAAGUGUAGUCGAUUGAUUUAGGCGCUGGGAAAUUUCACUGUCGUAUUGCGGUUACAUAAGUUUCCUUCCCCUUCUUGCCUCAGGCCAAAGGUUUCCUUUAUUACGGGAGAUCAAGUCCUCUGUUAAGAUUCUUUCGUAGAGUUAUUAUAGAUGGACUGAAUGGUUAGUCUGAAUGACUGAGGCUUCAGUGUAACAUUUCACAGUCUCGUUUUGUAACCGAGUCUUCAGUGUAGCAUUUCACCGCGCCAGUCUUGUUUUGUAACCGAGUCUUCAGUGUAGCAUUUCACAGUCUCGUUUUGUAAACUAUUAGUUGCCUUUCAGCCAAGACCCAAAGCUACUCCAUUAUCAAUAAGAAAUGAGAAGAAGGGGUCUCAUGAACAAAUUAUCAUAGAGAUUGUAUGAGUUAGACGCUCAAUACCAAAUUCGCAAGAGAUGGUGGAAACCAUCAAUUGAGGCGACCUCUGGUUACGCUCGUCUCUUCGCCCCAAAAACUCUCACGGACCUGUUACCUACACUAAAGUUGAGUUCAUCAUCUAGAAAGUUCGGCACUGACUUUCUUUUCAGGCAAUGUUCAUUAGUAUUACCUUUUCCAUUUCAU